GGAGAGGGCGAGCGUUGUUCGGAUUUACUGGGCGUAAAGGGCAUGUAGGUGUCCCGACAAGCUCUGGGGUGAAAUCUCCGCGCUCAACGCGGAAACGAAUCAGAGAACUAUCGGGAUUGAGUUCAGAAGAAGAGAGUGGAAUUCUCGGUGUAGCGGUGAAAUGCGUAGAUAUCGAGAAGAACACCAGCGGCGAAGGCGGCUCUCUAUUCUGAAACUGACACUCAAAUGCGAAAGCGUGGGGAGCGAAUGGGAUUAGAUACCCCAGUAGUCCACGCUGUAAACGAUGUGCACUUGGUGUAUUCCUUUUUAAGGGGUGUGCCGGAGCUAACGCGUUAAGUGCACCGCCUGGGGAGUACGGCCGCAAGGCUA
rnacentral:rRNA from 1 species